GACGAACGCUUGCGGCGUGCUUAACACAUGCAAGUCGAACGGAAAGGCCCUGCUUUUGUGGGGUGCUCGAGUGGCGAACGGGUGAGUAACACGUGAGUAACCUGCCCUUGACUUUGGGAUAACUUCAGGAAACUGGGGCUAAUACCGGAUAGGAGCUCCUGCUGCAUGGUGGGGGUUGGAAAGUUUCGGCGGUUGGGGAUGGACUCGCGGCUUAUCAGCUUGUUGGUGGGGUAGUGGCUUACCAAGGCUUUGACGGGUAGCCGGCCUGAGAGGGUGACCGGCCACAUUGGGACUGAGAUACGGCCCAGACUCCUACGGGAGGCAGCAGUGGGGAAUAUUGCACAAUGGGCGGAAGCCUGAUGCAGCAACGCCGCGUGCGGGAUGACGGCCUUCGGGUUGUAAACCGCUUUCGCCUGUGACGAAGCGUGAGUGACGGUAAUGGGUAAAGAAGCACCGGCUAACUACGUGCCAGCAGCCGCGGUGAUACGUAGGGUGCGAGCGUUGUCCGGAUUUAUUGGGCGUAAGGGCUUGUAGGUGGUUGAUCGCGUCGGAAGUGUAAUCUUGGGGCUUAACCCUGAGCGUGCUUUCGAUACGGGUUGACUUGAGGAAGGUAGGGGAGAAUGGAAUUCCUGGUGGAGCGGUGGAAUGCGCAGAUAUCAGGAGGAACACCAGUGGCGAAGGCGGUUCUCUGGGCCUUUCCUGACGCUGAGGAGCGAAAGCGUGGGGAGCGAACAGGCUUAGAUACCCUGGUAGUCCACGCUGUAAACGGUGGGUACUAGGUGUGGGGUCCAUUCCACGGGUUCCGUGCCGUAGCUAACGCUUUAAGUACCCCGCCUGGGGAGUACGGCCGCAAGGCUAAAACUCAAAGGAAUUGACGGGGCCCCGCACAAGCGGCGGAGCAUGCGGAUUAAUUCGAUGCAACGCGUAGAACCUUACCUGGGUUUGACAUGGAUCGGGAGUGCUCAGAGAUGGGUGUGCCUCUUUUGGGGUCGGUUCACAGGUGGUGCAUGGCUGUCGUCAGCUCGUGUCGUGAGACGUUGGGUUAAGUCCCGCAACGAGCGCAACCCUUGUUCACUGUUGCCAGCACGUUAUGGUGGGGACUCAGUGGAGACCGCCGGGGUCAACUCGGAGGAAGGUGGGGAUGACGUCAAGUCAUCAUGCCCCUUAUGUCCAGGGCUUCACGCAUGCUACAAUGGCUGGUACAGAGAGUGGCGAGCCUGUGAGGGUGAGCGAAUCUCGGAAAGCCGGUCUCAGUUCGGAUUGGGGUCUGCAACUCGACCUCAUGAAGUCGGAGUCGCUAGUAAUCGCAGAUCAGCAACGCUGCGGUGAAUACGUUCCCGGG
rnacentral:rRNA from 1 species